rnacentral:rRNA from 1 species
CCUACGGGAGGCUGCAGUAAGGAAUCUUCCACAAUGGGCGAAAGCCUGAUGGAGCAACGCCGCGUGGGUGAAGAAGGUCUUCGGAUCGUAACACCCUGUUGUUAGAGAAGAAAGUGCGUGAGAGUAACUGUUCACGCUUCGACGGUAUCUAACCAGAAAGCCACGGCUAACUAAGUGCCAGCAGCCGCGGUAAUACGUAGGUGGAAAGCGUUAUCCGGAUUUAUUGGGCGUAAAGGGAACGCAGGCGGUCUUUUAAGUCUGAUGUGAAAGCCUUCGGCUUAACCGGAGUAGUGCAUUGGAAACUGGGAGACUUGAGUGCAGAAGAGGAGAGUGGAACUCCAUGUGUAGCGGUGAAAUGCGUAGAUAUAUGGAAGAACACCAGUGGCGAAAGCGGCUCUCUGGUCUGUAACUGACGCUGAGGUUCGAAAGCGUGGGUAGCAAACAGGAUUAGAUACCCCAGUAGUC